rnacentral:ribozyme from 1 species
CUCGCUCAAAAACGAAACCACCUCCUGUGGAUUAUGAAUCCGAAGAUAUGCGCAAGGGAUUUGACCACUGUUUCGUGUCGGUGCCAUGCAAAGAGCGUCUCUCUGUG